CAGGAACGUCUGCUCUUCUUCCUCGGGUCAGCAGGAGCCGAGGACCCAGAUCCAAGUGCAGCUGAAGCUGCAACUGCACUAGGCCAGUAGCAGCGGCGCACACUGAAUCCCCCCAAGCGCCUCUGAUCUACUAGUAGAAGGAAGAAGAAAAAAAUCCUCCGGAAUUGCAGCACAUGGAUAUGGAUAUGGAUAUGGCACGGAUGGACUGGAAUGGAAUUCGAUUGCGG
rnacentral:lncRNA from 7 species